AUGAGGAUGGUGAUGAGAGUCAUGGUGGUUGUGCUUUCUGCUGUGUUGACUGACAGAUCGGGUGUGGUGAGGCCAACCCUCACUGUCCUCCCUCCAUCCAAAGAGGAAGACAAACAGAGUAGUGCCACUGUGGUGUGUUUGGCCACCGGGGGCUUCCCCUCAAACUGGAAUUUGGGCUGGAAGGUGGGGGGCACCAGCACAUCCUCAGGGGUGUCAACCAGCCUGGAGGUCUUGGGGACAGACGGCCGCUACAGCUGGAGCAGCACCCUGAGCCUCUCUGCAGACCAGUGGAAGAAGGCGGGCACAGUGAGCUGUGAGGCCAGUCUGAGUGGACAGAGCCCCGUCACUCAAACCCUGGACCCUGACCACUGCUCAGAGUAG